GGGGAGGGGGCGGGGCUAUCAAGGGGGCGGGGCAAAUGCACUGCUCAUGCUCCAGAUCCAGUGCCAGGCUCAGCCUCUGUGCACACAGCCCGCUGCUGCCAUCUUGAAUCUUGAGUGCAGUCUUCUGGUUCAGCCCGGAGGCUGAGGUGUCAGCGUGGCCAUUUUGCACCAGGAACUGUGGUCUGACCUGCUGAGUGAGGCUUCUGCCUAUGACCCACUGUGAACAAGUAACAGCAGACUGAGCACAAAGGAAAAAAACAAAGUGCAUCUGGUUCACAAAUUGGAAGAGGAACAGGAAAAUGGACUCUCAGCCUCACAAAGAAUGCUUCAUUAUACCAGAACCUCCUGUGUUUGUCCUGUCCAGGAGAAAGCAUUUGACAAGCAACUCAAGAAGAAAACCUGACCAUCGAGCCCGAGGUGGCAGGAAGAACUCCAAUCACACAGAAUGUUGCUAGCCAGCCUAUGGACUGCAUACCCCCAAAUCUGGUGUUGUGAUGUCCACUCAAAAUGGCUUAAAUGAACAUUUUUUUGAUGUAUAUAUAAUAAUCUUGAAUUUUAAUAUACAAAAACCCAUUUAAUUAUAUCCUUUAAAUUUAAUGGUUAUGGGAGGUGCAUCUCAGUAAAGCUGUUUAAAAAAAUCAGAAACACCUGCUUUUCUUCUCAAUUGUUGUAAGCUCUUUGAACACACUUAUGUACCAAUGCCUUUAGGAGAGUUGGCUCAGCAGGGUACAUAUUUGGUGACUGAAUGAUGAUUCACAUUCAGUUCAGUUCAGUUCAGUUGCUCAGUCAUGUCCGACUCUUUGUGACCCCAUAGACUGCAGCAUGUCAGGCUUCCCUGUCCAUCACCAUCUCCCGGAGCUUGCUCAAACUCAUGUCCAUUGAGUUGGUAAUGUCAUCCAACCAUCUCAUCCUCUGUCAUCCCCUUCUCCUCCUGCCUUCAAUCUUUCCUAGUGUCAGGGUCUUUUCCAAUGAGUUAGUUCUUUGCUUCAGGUGCCAAAGUAUUGGAGUUUCAGCUUUAGCAUCAGUCCUUCCAAUGAAUAUUCAGGACUGAUUUCCUUUGGUAUUGACUAGUUUAGUCUCCUUGCAGUCUAAGGAGCUCUCAAGAGUCUUCUCCAACACCACAGUUCAAAAGCAUCAGUUCUUCAGUGCUCAGCUUUCUUUAUGGUCCAACUCUCAUAUCCAUGCAUGACUAUGGAAAAACCAUAGCUUUGACUGGACGGACAUUUGUCUGUCUAGUCACAUUAAUGAUUCACAUAGCUAUAUAGAUAGUUCAAAUUCAACUACUAAUUCUCUCUGGCUUAUAUUGGAAAUCACCUCUGUAUCAUUAUCUGGAUCUCCAUUUCAGGAAUCUUUUUUUUUUCCUCUUACAAUUUUUUUGGUUAAAAACAAAACAGAAACCAUUUUAUGUCUCCUCUUAUG
ensembl:lncRNA